rnacentral:rRNA from 1 species
UGGGGAAUUUUGCACAAUGGGGGAAACCCUGAUGCAGCGACGCCGCGUGAUUUAGAAGGCCUUCGGGUUGUAAAAAUCUUUUCUAUGGGAAGAAAAUGACAGUACCAUAGGAAUAAGGACCGGCUAAUUACGUGCCAGCAGCCGCGGUAAUACGUAAGGUCCGAGCGUUGUCCGGAAUCAUUGGGCGUAAAGGGUACGUAGGCGGGUAAGCAAGUUAGAAGUGAAAUCCUAUAGCUCAACUAUAGUAAGCUUUUAAAACUGCUCAUCUUGAGGUAUGGAAGGGAAAGUGGAAUUCCUAGUGGAGCGGUGAAAUGCGCAGAUAUUAGGAGGAAUACCGGUGGCGAAGGCGACUUUCUGGCCAUAACCUGACGCUGAGGUACGAAAGGGUGGGUAGCAAACAAG